rnacentral:lncRNA from 1 species
GCUCAAAGUCAUUGUUUAUUUUGGUGUUUCAGAUUUUAUAUAAAACAUUGAUGGUUUGCAUUCUCAAUCGGUUUGUACAAGUCGUGUAGCAUCUAUGGAUCAAAAUUUGGUAUUAUCUGGAUAGUUGGGUGUGCUAAGUGUAUACAAAAAUUUGUGUUAAUCUAACGAUGCAAUCAAGAGAUAUCUGGGUUUUAGUACAAAGGGUUGUCGGAAGUU